rnacentral:rRNA from 1 species
CACGUAGGCACCAAGCGUUGUCCGGAUUUAUUGGGCGUAAAGAGCUCGUAGGCGGUUCAGUAAGUCGGGUGUGAAAACUUUGGGCUUAACCCAAAGCGUGCAUCCGAUACUGCUGUGACUUGAGUUCGGUAGGGGAGCAGGGAAUUCCUAGUGUAGCGGUGAAAUGCGCAGAUAUUAGGAGGAACACCGGUGGCGAAGGCGCUGCUCUGGGCCGAAAC